UCCGGUUGAUCCUGCCGGACCCUAUUGCUAUCGGGAUGAGACUAAGCCAUGCGAGUUGUGCGCUCCCUAGCCAUGUUGGGAGAGCAGCGAACGGCUCAGUAACACGUAGUUAAUCUGCCCUUAGGACGGGAAUAACCCUGGGAAACUGGGAUUAAUACCUGAUAGAUGGAAGCGCCUGGAAUGGUCUUCCGUUGAAAAGUUCUUGAGAACAUGCUCCCAAGAAUGCCUAAGGAUGAGACUGCGACCUAUCAGGCUGUUGGUGGGGUAACGGCCCACCAAACCUAUAACAGGUACGGGCCCUGAAAGGGGGAGCCCGGAGAUGGGAACUGAGACAAGGUCCCAGGCCCUACGGGGCGCAGCAGGCGCGAAAACUCCGCAAUGCGCGAAAGCGUGACGGGGUUAACCCGAGUGCCGUCCGUGAGGAUGGCUUUUCUUCAGUGUAAGGAGCUGGAGGAAUAAAGGGGGGGCAAGUCUGGUGUCAGCCGCCGCGGUAAUACCAGCCCCCUGAGUGAUAGGGACGAUUAUUUAGCCUAAAGCGUUCGUAGCCGGUCAAGUAAGUCUUUCGUUAAAUCUGACGGCUUAAUCGUCAGACCGCGGAAGAUACUGCUAGACUUGAGGGCGGGAGAGGUUGACGGUAGUCCCGGGGUAGGGGUGAAAUCCUAUAAUCCCGGGAGGACCACCAGUGGCGAAGGCGGUCAACUAGAACGCGCCUGACGGUGAGGGACGAAAGCUGGGGUAGCGAACCGGAUUAGACACCCGGGUAGUCCCAGCUGUAAACGAUGCGGGCUAGGUGUUGGAGCAGCUACGGGCUGCUCCAGUGCCGCAGAGAAGUUGUUAAGCCCGCCGCUUGGGAAGUACGGUCGCAAGGCUGAAACUUAAAGGAAUUGGCGGGGGAGCACCACAAGGGGUGAAGCCUGCGGUUUAAU
rnacentral:rRNA from 1 species